GUCCACGAUUUCAUGGCGCGCGUGUAUGAAUAAUGUUUAUUUUUGUAUUAGAAACUUCGUCAUUAAAGCCUGAUAUUAUCAGAAGAUUCUUCGAUCAUGGGCUGAUAAAAUACAGUGCAAAAGUGAGGUUAUUUGACACGGUAGAAUCUUCAUUAUGGGAAUAUCGAUUAACCCUUUGCACUGGGAAUUUUAUUCGAAUUUCGUUAGCAGCAGCAGCCAACGCUUUUAAGUGUUUUAUUUGAAAUUUACUUUAACUAGAAAAUAAGAGAAGAAAGAAAUUCACUUAAAUACCAGUUUUCUUCACACUAUUGUUGUAUUUUCUAAUCUUUAAGUGUAUGAUAUAUCUUGAAACAAUUUUCAGCAUGCAAUCCUGCUUUCCUCUCGCACGCUUCUUAAAAAAAGGUGGACAUGAAAGAAUGUCGAGUGGGACUCGACAAAGGAGCUGCUGAGAUAAAAACUGAUAUCGAGCCACACUCGACAUAGAAGUGCAAAGGGUUAAAUAUGAAAAUGGCCCUUUAUUAGGAAGAUCGUAAAGCAUGGACAGAAAAUUAUAAGAGCUGGAAAUGUGUAAAAUGAAAUCAAUAUUAACACUUUACCGACCGCUAGCGGUUCAACGGCAUACGCACGUCCGACCGGCAGCUCAGGCGCAGAUUCUCCCUGGCGCUGGCUUCGUUUCGGUUUAUACUUUCCAAUACCAUUCUUUUCGUUCAUCGCGAACGGUAAGUUUUUCAAAUUGGUAUAAAACUUUGGGGCCUUAGAAAGCAACGCGACUGACGCAACUGAGUAAGGUACCAUAGUACUAAAUAACAAAUUACUGCUCAAAUAAUGAGAAAGAUUGUUGGCGGCAAAAAGCCGAUUAAUAGGCUAUCGGUCGAUAAAUGCCGGUGACAAAAUGCUGAUUAAUCGGCUAUCGGUCGGUAAGCGUCGGCGACAAAAAGCCAAUUAGUGGGCUAUCGGUCGGUAUCAGAGACAAAAAGCCGAUUAAUCGGCUAUCAGUCGAUAAAAUGUUAAUAUAUAUUUAUAAAAUAAUUCUAGAUAAAUGAUGUUCUUUCCUACGUAUCUCUGUACUUGUCGUUUAGCAAACAAAUCUUCUAAAAGUUUCUAUGCCAAACUAUCGCUCGUGCAACCUUAUACCUUGUCUAAAAACAGGCUAUUAACCGAUGAACUAUUUUAUUCGUUUUCACAGGAAUUGAUCGGCAACGAAACUUUCAAACCGGCGGUCUAUUCGAAGACCAAAAGAAAAGAGAUCUGUUAAAGAACGUGUCGGUUUAUGACUAUCGCAAUGGCCACAAAGAAAGAAGUCGAUUCGUACGAUUGAUGGCUUUCCAUAGGAUUUCCGUAGGAAUUCCUCCGUACGUGUCAUCGGCAUGUAACCAGGGAUUAACGUUGACGGUGGCGAAAGAAAAACGCGGUGAUCCCUUUUUCCACCUUUUCCCAUUUCGGUUCCGUUGCAAUUGUUCCAGCCAUGCUGAUGUCAAUGCGAUUCUCAAACCUAGAGGGUGUGCGUGAGCGAGAAAAAAGUCGGCUGCCAUGUAAUGUUCACGGGGAUCCGAUGACUUCUUUCAUUCGAAAGUAUACGCGUGGCCGGGCAUUCGUUCAGAACAUUUCGAGAUUCUAGGAAUUGGUGCUGGUUGUCUCAGGGAAUCUCAUUGCAAAGAAUUUUUGAAAUUGCUUUGAAAUAAGUUACACAUCUAUUGUCAGUGGCGCCACAGGCGUAAAUCAAGGUAAUGCAGAUGUAAUCGUGUCGAGUCGGUAAACAAAUUGGAACUUUUAACACAUUGUUGACCGGCAAUUUUACUGAGAAUUUAUCUCAUGUCACAGGUUAUUAUUUCGUAAUUGGAUGUGCAAGUAAAAUAAUAUAAAUAAACUUUGAUAAAUUUGAUUUAUUAUUCAACUUUGAAUAUUUCUUUUUCCUAUGAUAAACAGUAUAACAAUCACCUACAUGUAAUGGUACACAACAGCUUUCGCAAAUAUAUCUAGUUUCGUUGCGUUUUCCUUUUGAACAGCGUACUUUACACGCUCUAGUCGGAUUUGUUUUUCUGCCGGUGACUAUUUUUUCUAACACGUGGUCUCUUAGUUGUCCGGAAAGCCUGAAGGGUGCAUCAUUAUAAUAAGGAGCUGUUUUAGAAAUUCGAGAAGUGUCAGGUGCAAUGCUGCGUUCUUUAGAAUGCACAGUUAUCCAUUCUCUAGUUACUUGCAGUAGAAAUUUAUUGUACCUUGUUUUAUUUUCUAGCAGAUAGAUACAGUACAUUUUAUAUGCAUUGAGCAAGGUGCAGUUUAUCAGAAAAAAUGGUGAUGAUCUGCACGAUCUACCCCUUUCAUAUACUUAUUGUAUUGUAAUAUGUACGUAGGUUUAAUGAUAUUUUGGUGGCCUAAUAUCGGAUUCGCUAUCUUCUAAUACAGUAUCAUUUUCCAAGUCACCACAAUUUGAUUCACAAUCACUCGGACAAUCAGAUACAACAUCCGUGUAUAAUUCAUUGGAAGAUUCUUCAUCGGUACGUUCCGUCAUCGUUGACAUUUUUUUUACAACAAAGGACGCAACUUGACUGGUCUUACAAGCGAGGGACACAGCUUGAGAUAUGUUGACCAAUAAUUGCACUGUAUCAUCUCCAACAGCGCACUAAGAAAAUGGCGCUGAACGGGAAAAAAGCGCAUCACGAGUUUACUCGUGGCCGGUAACAAUGUGUUAAGAUUUGCAUCGCAGAAUUAGGAAACAACGUUGAAUUUUUUUUUUGUUUCUUUUGCAGCAGAUUCUCUUUGGAUAAUCGAUAGAUUUAAUGGCGAGGAACCAUGAUGUUCGACCGUAUUUUCGAUGAUCAUUCCAACUGGCUGCUAUUUACCAAGGGUGUGUCUGAUUACGUAAUAUUCCAAAGCGUCUUCGCGGCUGAAAUUCCACGCGUGAUACGGCCGUGUCGCAAUCAUUCCACCGUGAGAUAGUUCUGCUUCCUCUUGGAAAGCGAUCGUUCCACGAGACCCUCUGGUAAAUGGGACGUCGGUUUCCAACUCGGCUAUACAAGGCGGAUUGUUUGCAAACCGAUCGAUAAGUCGAAGAAAUCUUGAUCGAGCGUUGGCAAAGUGAAUUUCUAUGUCGUUUAUAGAAAGCUUCGAAAAGAUAUACAACUGGGAACAGGCUAAUCGGAGAAAAGUAGACGCAAAUGGACACUGCGUUACACGGUCGUAAAUCAUCCCGCGUAGUUACCUUAAACGUAAGCAAUCUCGGAACGCAGAAAUACCUGAAACUAGGUAACGCUGAUUACAGGAAUGGACAACGAUCGAUGGUUAUCAGCGAAAACGACGCUAAACGGUGCUGCAAACGAAACGCUACGUGUUUCCUUUAAAUUCUAUGAAGUAACGUUUUCCCAGGCGAACUACGAUCGCGUUAAACAAAGUAUAAAUUAAGGCUCGAUGGGAUAGACGGCGUUCGAAUCUGCAACGUAACCUGCCAUUGUCAUAGUUUACGGUAGAUUUGUAAAAUGAACGGUAACCACGGCGCUACAGUCGAUAGAUACGAUACGUAAUAAUCGGUUAACGGCUGUUCUUCUAUCGGAUACGAAAAACACGCGAAUCGAAUGAAACGGUGAUUCGAAUAUCUGCCAUUAAACUAAGUCUCGUUCGCAGAAUGCUGCGGCUGUAUUCUCAUGCGCGUGUGGUCUUUCAUCACGAUUACAUUUCGAGGUGAAGAUCGUGUGUGGUUCCUUCGGAAAGGUCUUGUAGAAUGUUGUACAGAAGGUUAAUAGCGGAUUCGAUUGUGAAAGGUCUGUUAGUACGGUAUUGGCUUGGCAACUAAGUGAUUGCGGAUUUUAUCGUUAGGUGGUAUUGAUAAAAUCCGCAAUCAUUUAGUUGUCAAGUCGAACAAAAGCGUGCGGUAAUUUGUAUCGUUAAUUGCAAUUGUAGGAAAAAGAUCUUGCAAUUGUCCUUUUAUACUAUAUCGUGUACUUUGAAACACUAUAGCAAUAUCAAUACAGUAUAGUACUAGUUCAAUUAGUAAAUUAACGCGGAAUCAUGAAUGGACUGUUGACCUUUAUGCAAUUUCAUAUUUUAACAAAUGUAACUUAAAUUACAUUUCACUUUGAAUAUUUUAUAUGUUUCUUUGCAUAUUACGCGCAAUUCGAUAUUUUUAAAACCUCGAAUUUCUUCGAUCAUGAAACACUUGAUAUUCACAUUAACAGUUAUUAAUAUCACGAAUUUAUAUAGAAAAUUGAUUGUAUUCAUAUGAGAUUAAUUUAAAAUGUAGCUUCAGUUGCAA